GAAUCCCGUCUUUGACACGGACUGCCUGCAUGUUAUGGUGCGCUCUCAAAGAGUCGAGUUGUUUGGGAAUGCAGCUCAAAAUGGGUGGUAAAUGCCAUCUAAAGCUAAAUAUUGGCGAGAGACCGAUAGCGAACAAGUACCGUGAGGGAAAGAUGAAAAGAACUUUGGAAAGAGAGUUAAACAGUACGUGAAAUUGUUGAAAGGGAAACACUUGAAGUCAGUCGCGCCGUUCGGGACUCAGCCUUGCUUCUGCUUGGUUUACUUCCCGUUGGGUGGGUCAACAUCAGUUUUGGUCGGAGGAGAAAGGCCUGUGGAAGGUAGCAGCUUUGCUGUGUUAUAGCCACCUGUUGUAUACUUCGACUGGGACUGAGGAUCGCAGCACGCCUUUGGCCGGGGCUUUGCCCACGUACGUGCUUAGGAUGUUGGCAUAAUGGCUUUAAGUGACCCGUCUUGAAACACGGACCAAGGAGUCUAACAUGUGCGCGAGUGUUUGGGUGUUAAACUCGGACGCGAAAUGAAAGUAACAAGUUGGGAACACUUUUGUGUGCACCGACGCCCGGAGCUGACCUUCUGUGACGCAUCUGCGGUAGAGCGUAUAUGUUGGGACCCGAAAGAUGGUGAACUAUGCCUGAAUAGGGUGAAGCCAGAGGAAACUCUGGUGGAGGCUCGUAGCGAUUCUGACGUGCAAAUCGAUCGUCAAAUUUGGGUAUAGGGGCGAAAGACUAAUCGAACCAUCUAGUAGCUGGUUCCUGCC
rnacentral:rRNA from 1 species